GACCAGUGUAAACCACGUGAUCAUCCACGCGCGCAGUGCAGAGUCGCUGAGACCGAGAUUUGUGCAAUUGAGAUACCAGCGAUCAUUCCCAAAGCCCUGUUGCCUGUGGAAAAGGUGAUGUUUGACUUUCUUGUGCUGCUGCAGUUUGUAUGAUGAAGGUGCUCCCACAAUGCGGUUAUUUGAAAAGUUACAGAUCAUUCAUCUAGCGAUACUGAAGAGCUGAUGGUGAUUCGAACCCAGGUCCCCAGAACGUUAGCUGGGUCUCUGGAUUAAUAAUCCAGCAAUAAUACUGCUGCCGAUUUAUCAACCGAGGGAGGAUGGUACAUGGUAAUCAGCAGGAGCCAUGAGACUCCUAGGCGUCAGAGUCAGUGUUGAGUACUCUCAGGUCAAAUCAAUCUGGUCAGAAUACCACUGUGUUGCUACGUCUGCCAGGUCUGUCCUUCUCGUGGGACAGGACUCAUCUAAGGACAGUGAUAGUGACGUGUGUCAUUGUCUGUAAGGUAUGAUUCCAUGCAUAUGACGCUGUUUCUUGACUAGUCUUUGAGUCAGCUCUCCAAAUUUUGCCACU